CUAAGAUUAUUUUUGGCAGCAGCCUUCUACGACGCUGUUGUAAUUUUUAUCCUGUUUCGUUUCAAGGCGGCCGAAAGUAAAAUUAGUCGCACGUCGAGGAAAUAAAUAAUAAGUAUCGAGCCGUUUAGUAUUCCUUGCGUUUCGCAUCCCCAAAGAAUCCUUUGUCUACGCGGAAGCGUGUACCGUGGAAAUUGAAAAUUUGCAUAUAAUUCUGGGUUUUGAAUGUUUAUUUGACAGUGUAAUCUCAGAUGUAAUCAGAUUAACGAAGAGUUUUGUUUAAG
rnacentral:misc_RNA from 1 species